UGGGGAAUAUUGGACAAUGGGCGCAAGCCUGAUCCAGCCAUGCCGCGUGAGUGAUGAAGGUCUUAGGAUUGUAAAGCUCUUUCACCGGUGAAGAUAAUGACGGUAACCGGAGAAGAAGCCCCGGCUAACUUCGUGCCAGCAGCCGCGGUAAUACGAAGGGGGCUAGCGUUGUUCGGAAUUACUGGGCGUAAAGCGCAUGUAGGCGGAUAUUUAAGUCAGGGGUGAAAUCCCGCAGCUCAACUGCGGAACUGCCUUUGAUACUGGGUAUCUUGAGUAUGGAAGAGGUGAGUGGAAUUCCGAGUGUAGAGGUGAAAUUCGUAGAUAUUCGGAGGAACACCAGUGGCGAAGGCGGCUCACUGGUCCAUUACUGACGCUGAGGUGCGAAAAGCGUGGGGAGCAAAACAGGAUUAGAUACCCUGGUAGUCCACGCCGUAAAACGAUGAAUGUUAGCCGUCGGGCAGUAUACUGUUCGGUGGCGCAGCUAACGCAUUAAAACAUUCCGCCU
rnacentral:rRNA from 1 species